ACUCGAGUGGCGAACGGGUGAGUAACACGUGGGUGAUCUGCCCUGCACUUCGGGAUAAGCUUGGGAAACUGGGUCUAAUACCGGAUAGGAGCCAUCUUUAGUGUGGUGGUUGGAAAGUUUUUUCGGUGUAGGAUGAGCUCGCGGCCUAUCAGCUUGUUGGUGGGGCAAUGGCCUACCAAGGCGGCGACGGGUAGCCGGCCUGAGAGGGUGGACGGCCACAUUGGGACUGAGAUACGGCCCAG
rnacentral:rRNA from 1 species